AGCGAACGCUGGCGGCAGGCCUAACACAUGCAAGUCGAACGAACCCUCCGGGGUUAGUGGCGGACGGGUGAGUAACACGUGGGAACGUGCCUUUAGGUUCGGAAUAACUCAGGGAAACUUGUGCUAGUACCGAAUGUGCCCUUCGGGGGAAAGAUUUACCGCCUUUAGAGCGGCCCGCGUCUGAUUAGCUAGUUGGUGAGGUAAUGGCUCACAAAGGCUACGAUCAGUAGCUGGUCUGAGAGGAUGACCAGCCACAUUGGGACUGAGACACGGCCCAAACUCCUACGGGAGGCAGCAGUGGGGAAUCUUGCGCAAUGGGCGAAAGCCUGACGCAGCCAUGCCGCGUGGACGAUGAAGGUCUUAGGAUUGUAAAAUCCUUUCACCGGUGAAGAUAAUGACUGUAGCCGGAGAAGAAGCCCCGGCUAACUUCGUGCCAGCAGCCGCCGUAAAAC
rnacentral:rRNA from 1 species